rnacentral:rRNA from 1 species
UUUGCCAGAGAUGGCUUAGUGCUCGAAAGAGAGCCGUAACACAGGUGCUGCAUGGCUGUCGUCAGCUCGUGUCGUGAGAUGUUGGGUUAAGUCCCGCAACGAGCGCAACCCUUGUCAUUAGUUGCUACGAAAGGGCACUCUAAUGAGACUGCCGGUGACAAACCGGAGGAAGGUGGGGAUGACGUCAAGUCCUCAUGGCCCUUAUAGGUGGGGCUACACACGUCAUACAAUGGCCGGUACAAAGGGUCGCAAACCCGCGAGGGGGAGCUAAUCCAUCAAAGCCGGUCGUAGUCCGGAUCGCAGUCUGCAACUCGACUGCGUGAAGUCGGAAUCGCUAGUAAUCGUGGAUCAGCAUGUCACGGUGAAUACGUUCCCGGGCCUUGUACACACCGCCCGUCACACCAUGGGAGUGGGUUUUACCAGAAGUAGGUAGUCUAACCGCAAGGGGGACGCUUACCACGGUAGUAUUCAUGACUGGGGUGAAGUCGUAACAAGGUAGCCGUA